rnacentral:lncRNA from 1 species
UUUUUUUUUUUUUUUUUUUUGAUUUUUAGGGCCACAUCUGUGACAUUUGGAAGUUCUCAGGCUAGGGGUCAAAUGGGAGCUAUAGCUCCGGUCUACGCCACAGCCACAGCACGGUGGGAUCAAAGCCGUGUCUACAGCCUACACCACAGCUCUUGGCAAUGCCAGAUCUCCAACCCCCUGAGCGAGGCCAGGGAUCAAACCCACGUCCUCAUGGAUACUAGUCAGGCUUGUUAACCGCUGAGCCACAAAGGGAACUCCUUUUUUCAAGAGUUUUUUAGCUAACAGGAAAAUGGAUUUGUGAGUGUUGUUCACGGCAGAUCUGUUGAAGGAGAGUUAUUCAUUUGAAAAAAAAAAAAUAGCUUACUUAACUGACAUUUUUGGAGCACCUGAAUGAACUUAAUUGAAAAUCGCAAAGGCUGUGUAAAUAAUAUUACAUAUACUCACAGAGCUUAUGGAUUUGAAGCAAAAGUUCAGCUUUGGAAAAGGGAUAAAAAUGAUUCAUUUGUGAUAUUUAGUCAGUGUUACAUUUUAAAUCCUAAGGGAAAAUUAUUGACUGUUAGAGCAGUACCUGUAUAUACUUGCAGUCAAUUUUAUCAUUAUUUAAAAAUACUUCAUAUGAAACAAUCUAAAAAACAUUUGUUUCCAUAAGGAAUUUCAACAUUAUAUUUAAGGAAAUUGAGGAAAAGAAGGACCAUAUUUAAUCAAUGUAUCCCUCAUGGUUCAUGACAAGAAAGAACUUGCUGUCAAUUGGAGAAAAAGUGAUGAAUUCUGGGCUACCAUUUGCUACCACCAACUUUUGUGAAUAAAAUUUGCCUUGAUGGGUAAAAAUCAAGCAUUUGAUAUCUCAGUCAUAAAACUUGUUAUACAAAAGGCAUUUCAUGCAAACAAACUCACAUUUCAUGUUAAAGAUUUUUUUUUAAUAUUUUGUGUGGUAAUUUUAGGUGUGUUUAAUAGUCACUGUGUGUCCCAAAACUCUUUAUUUCAUUUUUCUUCUCAUAAUUAUAUGCUAUAAAGAAAAUGUAGCAUGUAAUUUUUUCACCAAGGUCCAUAUAGACAUUUCCAAACUCUCUCUAGUAUAUCCCACCGUGCAUGUGUGAGAAGGAUAUAGACCCUAAAUGCUUCUAAGAAAAAUUGUUCCUGAAAUUAAAAUUCAGCAAGGGCCUAGAAUGGCCAAAGAACAAAUUCAGCAGAUUUAUGAACAAACUUGCACUCAUAAACUUUUUUUUUUUUUUUGGCCAUGCCCAUAGCAUGCAGAAGUUCUGGGGCUAAUGAUCAAACCCAUGCCACAGGAGUAACAACACCUGAUCCUUAACCCACCGAGACACUAGGGGACUCGGUGACAGUUUUUCCCUACCUUCCUCCCUCUCGCUUCUUCGUUAAUAGAUAGCGAGUUCCCUAACAAACAUUGUUCUGUUUCCGUAGAAGGAAAAGGUCUGUUCGCACUGUGAACUAUUUCUUCUUUCCCAAAAUGCCUUAAGAAAUAGCAAUUAAUGCGGAAAAAAAUAACAAAAAGUCAAAGGGAUAUUUAGCACAAAAAUAUUUUACAAUCUUCUCUCAUAAUUGUUUUUAAGUAUGGGUGUUGUUUUACUUAGGCAAAAAUUAUAAACCGUAUGUGUGUAUUUGCACCUCUUCAUUCAUAUGGUUUAUGCAAUGCUAUUAACUGUUAAUACAUUAAUAUAUAAGAUCCGUGGUUUGCUGUUAAUAUUUUAUAAGGAUAUUAUGGUUUUAUGGUUAAUAUCAAUUUGAGGUAUUGCUUUAAGAGUCAAAAGUACUUUAAAAUAAUUAUUUUGCUGGUGUUUACUUUUGUUUUAAUCAUGUUAACAAAGUUUUAUGUAGGUUAGAACACAGUAACUACAUAUUAUAUAUGUAAACUAUGCAAUGGCUCUAGUAAUAAAUUUCUUGUUUAAUAUUAGGAUUUUUUUUUUUUGCCAUAGACAUUUAAUUGUGUAUAGAGUUGUUUUAAAUGUGAAUGAUCCAGUUGAUCAAGCCUGUUUUUUCAGUUGUCUAAGGCAAUUUAUUUCCAUUUCUUCUGUGUUAAGAAAUCCUGGAAUUUCUACUUAAGUUCUUUGAGCACUUAUGCAAAAUUAAUGUUUUAAUGUAAAGAAGACUGUUCGUCGGAAAAACUUUUCCAGCUAAGUUCUUUGUUUUUAAAAUAAUAGAAUUUCAACUUUAUUACAUGUCUGAUAAAAUAGCAUGACUUUCAUGAAACAACAACACAGUAUCUCCAUAGAUAGGGUAUUUAUGUAAACUUAUUGACUCAGUUAUAGUAUCAAUCUCUGGUUAACACCAGGUUGGUACAGUUCACUGAAACGCAUGUUUGGGAGAGACUGAGUACAUUGAUAACUAUUCCUUUGAAAUAUCUAUUAAUAUAGCUGAUUAGAACAUUACCUUAAGGAAGUUUUGUUUUGUUUUCUGUUUUGCUUUUUAGGUUUUUUAGGGCCGUACCUGCGGCAUAUGGAGUUUCCCAGUCUAGGGGUCAAAUCAGAGCUAUAGCUGCCAUCCUAUGCCACAGCCACAGCAACGCCAGAUCUGAGCCGAAUCUGCAACCUACAACACAGCUCAUGGCAAUGCCAGAUCCUUAAUCCACUGAGGAAGGCCAGGGAUCAAACCUGUACUCUCAUGGACAUCAGUCGGAUUCAUUCCGCUGCGCCACAAAGGGAACUCCUUAAGGAAGUACUUUUUAAAAAUUAUUAAUAGGUUUUAUUUUUAAAACAUUUCAAUUUACAGGAAAAUUGAACACAAAGUUCAGAGUCCCAUAUCCUUCCCACCCCCGAAGUUUUCCAUAGUGUUGACAUCUUGCAUUAAUAUAGCAUAUUUGCUACCAAAUAAUGAUACAUGACUGUAAAAGUCCUUAACUUACUUUAAGAUUCCCUCUUUGUGUAGAGGUGGCCUGUAGAUAUUUGGUGAAUGUUUAUUCUGACCUUAUCUCUGUAAGGUGUCAUAGGAAACAAAAGAACAAGCACUUACUGUCAAGAACCCAAAAUGAGGAGUUCCUGUUGUGGGUCAGCAGAAACAAAUCCAACUAGUAUCCAUGAUGAUGCAGAUUGAUCCCUGGCCUCGCUCAGUGGGUUAAGAAUUCGGCAUUGCCAUGAGCUGUGGUGUAGGUCAGAGAUGUGGCUCAGAUCCUGAGUUACUGUGGCUGUGGGGUAGGCUGGCAACUGUAGCUCUGAUUAGACUCCUAGUCUGGGAACUUCCAUAAGCCUCGACUGAGGCACUAAAAAGGAAAAGAAGACAAAAUUAGUUUAUGUCUGCUUAUGGAGAGGAGAUCUGGUCACACGAAACCAUUAAUAAAUAGACAUUAUUUAUUAUGGUUAUUAUCAGAAUAAAAAUGAAGGGCUAAUAUGUGUUUCCAUGGACAGGAAAUGUAAAAACAAAAAUAAAAAAGAAUUUAGCUGAAGUUCCCAUUGUGGCUCAGUGAAAAUAAAUUUGGCUAGUAUCCAUGAGGACAUAAGUUCGAUUCCUGGCCUUGCUCAGUGGGUUAAGGAUCUGGAGUUACCAUGAGCCAGGGUGUAGGUCUCAGAUGUGGCUUGGAUCCCGCAUUGCUGUGACUUUGGCAUAGGCUGGCAGCUGUAGUUCCGAUUCGACCCCUAGCCUGGGAACCUCCAUAUGCCACAAGUGCGGCC